GAAUCUUCCACAAUGGACGAAAGUCUGAUGGAGCAAUGCCGCGUGAGUGAAGAAGGUUUUCGGAUCGUAAAACUCUGUUGUGAGGGAAGAACAAGUACGAGAGUAACUGCUCGUACCUUGACGGUACCUCAUUAGAAAGCCACGGCUAACUACGUGCCAGCAGCCGCGGUAAUACGUAGGUGGCAAUCGGUGUCCGGAAUUAUUUGGGGGAAAGCGCGCGCAGGCGGUCCUUUAAGGCUGAUGUGAAAUCCCACGGAUCAAACGUGGAAGGGCAGUGGAAACUGGGGGACUUGAGUACAGAAGAGGAAAGCGGAAUUCCAAGUGUAGCGGUGAAAUGCGUAGAGAUUUGGAGGAACACCAGUGGCGAAGGCGGCUUUCUGGUCUGUAACUGACGCUGAGGCGCGAAAGCGUGGGGAGCAAACA
rnacentral:rRNA from 1 species